rnacentral:lncRNA from 1 species
GAACAGAAUCAGGGCCUUGUGCAGAAUAAGAGAGAUGGAAAAUUCUCUGAGAAGUGAGAUGAUGGAUUGAUUAAAGGUGAAGGAAAGCAGUGAGCAUCAGUAAACCCAACAAAGAACAGAUUCAGGGUGGAUCCAGUUAAAACAGUUUCACAAUUUUCUCCAAUAACAGUUUGCAACCAUUCUUGAAGGCUGCAGACUUGGCAGACUUGGCAGACUUGGCAAGGUGGAACAGGAGAAAUACAAAGUAUGUAGCUGAUAUGGUUUGGCUGUGUCCCCACCCAAAGUCUUAUCUUGAAUUGUAAUCCCCAUAAUCCCCAUAUGUCAAGGGAGAGACCAGGUGGAGGUAAUCGAAUCAUGGGGGUGGUUUCCCCCAUGCUGUUGUCAUGAUCUCUCAGGAGAUCAGAUGGUUUUAUAAGUGUUUGGUAGUUCCUCCUGCAUUCAUUCUCCUUCUUGCUGCCUUGUGAAGAAGGUGCCUUGCUUCCCCUUCACCUUCCGCCAUGAUUGUAAGUUUCCUGAGGCCUCCUCAGCCAUGCUGAACUGAUGUGGAGCUGAGAAGCCCUGAUUUCCACUUUCUGACUCCUAGACUCAGCUGAUUUGAACCCCCCAGUGGAAUAGCAGCAGCCCAUCCGCAGCUUUCCUAGAAGUUCCUGACCUAGCAGCCUGAAAUGCAUUCUAAUCA